CCAAUAGCGUAUAUUAAAGUUGUUGCAGUUAAAAAGCUCGUAGUUGAAUUUCGGGAUUGACACAUCGGUCGUGCCUUAAGGGGUACGAACUGGUGUAGUCAAUUUCUCACCUUCUGGAGAACCGCGAUGCCCUUAAUUGGGUGUCGCGGGAAACCAGGACCUUUACUUUGAAAAAAUUAGAGUGUUUAAAGCAGGCAUUUUGCUUGAAUACAUUAGCAUGGAAUAAUAAAAUAGGACGGCAUGAUUCUAUUUUGUUGGUUUCUAGGAUCACCGUAAUGAUUAAUAGGGAUAGUUGGGGGCAUUAGUAUUCAAUUGUCAGAGGUGAAAUUCUUGGAUUUAUUGAAGACUAACUACUGCGAAAGCAUUUGCCAAGGAUGUUUUCAUUAAUCAAGAACGAAAGUUAGGGGAUCGAAGACGAUCAGAUACCGUCGUAGUCUUAACCAUAAACUAUGCCGACUAGGAAUCAGACGAUGUUAAUUUUUUAAUGACUCGUUUGGCACCUUACG
rnacentral:rRNA from 1 species